CGAACGCUGGCGGCGUGCUUAACACAUGCACGUCGAACGGAAAGGCCCUGCUUGCAGGGUCCUCGAGUGGCGAACGGGUGAGUAACACGUGGGUGAUCUGCCCUGCACUUCGGGAUAAGCCUGGGAAACUGGGUCUAAUACCGGAUAGGAGCCAUUUUUAGUGUGAUGGUUGGAAAGUUUUUUCGGUGUAGGAUGAGCUCGCGGCCUAUCAGCUUGUUGGUGGGGUAAUGGCCUACCAAGGCGGCGACGGGUAGCCGGCCUGAGAGGGUGGACGGCCACAUUGGGACUGAGAUACGGCCCAGACUCCUACGGGAGGCAGCAGUGGGGAAUAUUGCACAAUGGGCGCAAGCCUGAUGCAGCGACGCCGCGUGGGGGAUGACGGCCUUCGGGUUGUAAACUCCUUUCGCUAGGGACGAAGCUUUUGUGACGGUACCUAGAUAAGAAGCACCGGCUAACUACGUG
rnacentral:rRNA from 1 species